rnacentral:rRNA from 1 species
AGUGGCGGACGGGUGAGUAACGCGUGAGAAUCUGCCUUGGGGUCGGGGACAACCACUGGAAACGGUGGCUAAUACCGGAUAAGCCGAUUGGUGAAAGAUUUAUUGCCCGAAGAGGAGCUCGCGUCUGAUUAGCUAGUUGGUGAGGUAAGAGCUCACCAAGGCAGCGAUCAGUAGCUGGUCUGAGAGGACGAUCAGCCACACUGGGACUGAGACACGGCCCAGACUCCUACGGGAGGCAGCAGUGGGGAAUUUUCCGCAAUGGGCGAAAGCCUGACGGAGCAAGACCGCGUGAGGGAGGAAGGCUCUUGGGUUGUAAACCUCUUUUCUCAGGGAAGAAGCUCUGACGGUACCUGAGGAAUCAGCCUCGGCUAACUCCGUGCCAGCAGCCGCGGUAAUACGGAGGAGGCAAGCGUUAUCCGGAAUUAUUGGGCGUAAAGCGUCCGCAGGUGGCGAUUCAAGUCUGCUGUCAAAGCACGGGUCUUAACUCCGUAAAGGCAGUGGAAACUGAAUAGCUAGAGUGCCGUAGGGGUAGAGGGAAUUCCCGGUGUAGCGGUGAAAUGCGUAGAGAUCGGGAAGAACAUCGGUGGCGAAAGCGCUCUACUGGACGGCAACUGACACUCAGGGACGAAAGCUAGGGGAGCGAAUGGGAUUAGAUACCCC